UUCUCUUAGUGGUCUUUGUUCUGGUGUUU
rnacentral:piRNA from 1 species